rnacentral:rRNA from 1 species
UACGUAGGGGGCUAGCGUUGUCCGGAAUCAUUGGGCGUAAAGCGCGUGUAGGCGGCUUGGCAAGUCAGUUGUGAAAGCCCGGGGCCAACCCCGGAAUUGCAUCUGAAACUGCCUGGCUAGAGUCCCGGAGAGGAAGGCAGAAUUCCCGGUGUAGGGGUGAAAUCCGUAGAUAUCUGGAGGAAUACCGGUGGCGAAGGCGGAUCUCGGACCGAGAUUGACGCUGAUGAGCGAAAGCUAGGGGAGCAAACGGG